GGCGAACGGGUGAGUAACACGUGAGCAACCUACCCUUGACUCUGGGAUAACAGUUGGAAACAGCUGCUAAUACCGGAUACGACCCCGGCAGGCAUCUACCGGGGUGGAAAGCUCCGACGGUCAAGGAUGGGCUCGCGGCCUAUCAGCUUGUUGGUGGGGUAACGGCCCACCAAGGCGACGACGGGUAGCCGGCCUGAGAGGGCGACCGGCCACACUGGGACUGAGAUACGGCCCAGACUCCUACGGGAGGCAGCAGUGGGGAAUAUUGCGCAAUGGGCGAAAGCCUGACGCAGCAACGCCGCGUGCGGGAUGACGGCCUUCGGGUUGUAAACCGCUUUCAGCAGGGACGAAGGGUUUCUGACGGUACCUGCAGAAGAAGCACCGGCUAACUACGUGCCAGCAGCCGCGGUGAUACGUAGGGUGCGAGCGUUGUCCGGAAUUAUUGGGCGUAAAGAGCUUGUAGGCGGUCCGUUGCGUCGGAAGUGAAAACUCGGGGCUUAACCCCGAGCCUGCUUUCGAUACGUGCGGACUUGAGGGAUGUAGGGGAGAACGGAAUUCCUGGUGGAGCGGUGGAAUGCGCAGAUAUCAGGAGGAACACCAGUGGCGAAGGCGGUUCUCUGGACAUUUCCUGACGCUGAGAAGCGAAAGCGUGGGGAGCAAACAGGCUUAGAUACCCUGGUAGUCCACGCCGUAAACGGUGGGCACUAGGUGUGGGACCCAUUCCACGGGUUCCGUGCCGUAGCUAACGCAUUAAGUGCCCCGCCUGGGGAGUACGGCCGCAAGGCUAAAACUCAAAGGAAUUGA
rnacentral:rRNA from 1 species